rnacentral:lncRNA from 1 species
CUCUGCUGUAACGUGACACUUUCUAAGGCUCCCAUAGGCUCUCAGAAGGCGCCAGAAUGUUGAAUGAUGACUCUGCAGUCUCUGGCUGAAAAACAGUAGCGCAUUUGGAUAGUGGUCGAUCUGAGAACAAUGACACGGGCGCACACGUGCACGUGAAGAGUCCAUUUUGCAUUUUCAGUCUUUGAAUGAAAACAACGACUCCCGGUCGGAAUAUUAUCGCUAUUUUACGAGAAAAAUCGCAUAAAAAUUGAUUUUAAACAGCGUUUGACAUGCUUCGAACUACGGUAAUGGAAUAUUUUGAAUUUUUUUGUCACGAUACGCGUCCGCGCGUCACCCUUCGUUACCCUUCGGAUAGUGUCUUGAACGCACAAACAAAACGCCGCUAUUUGGAUAUAACUAUGGAUUAUUUGGAACCAAACCAACAUUUGUUGUUGAAGUAAAAGUCCUGGGAGUGCAUUCUGACGAAGAAUAGCAAAGAGGACCUAAGACUUCGCUUCAGGACUACCUGGCCUGGCGUCUCCUGGCUGUCCCUGUCCCCAGUCCACCUGUUCGCCCUGCUGAUCCAGUUUCUGCUGUUCUGCCUUGCAGCUACAUCCCGGACCUGCUGUUUUGACUCUCUCUCUCUCUCUCUCUCUCUCUCUCUCUCUCUCUCUCUCUCUCUCUCUCUCUCUCUCUCUCUCUCUUCGCUCUCUCUCUCUCUCUCUCUCUGCCUCUGAAUUCUCUUCUCAGCUAUGAAAAGCUAACUGACAUUUAGUCUUGAGGUGCUGAUCUGUUGCACCCUCUAUAACCACUGUGAUUAUUAUUUGACCCUGCUGGUCAUCUAUGAAUGUUUGAACAUCUUGAAGAACAAUCUAGCCUGAAUGGCCAUGUUCUGUUAUAAUCUCCACCCGGCACAGCCAGAAGAGGACUGGCCACCAAUCAGAGCCUGGUUCCUCUCUAGGUUUAUUCCUAGGUUCCUGCCUUUCUAGAGAGUUUUUCC